CCCUUAGAUGAUUUGGGCUGCACGCGCGCUACACUGACCCUAACAAUGAGCAACUGUCUGGCCUGAGGUGGCUGGGUAGCCUUUUCAACCCAUGUCAUGAUUGGGCUAGAUUUUUGUAAGUCUUGAUCUCUAACGAGGAAUCCCUAGUAUGCGUGAAUCAUCAAUCCAUGCAGAUUAUGUCCCUGCCCUUUGUACACACCGCCCGCCGCUCCUACUGAUUGGGUGAUCCGGUGAGCUGUUCGGCCAUAGCAAUGUUUCUUGAGCAGGGCAAUGAAUGUUUCGCAAACCUUGCCACUUAGAGGAAGGAGAAGUCGUAACA
rnacentral:rRNA from 1 species